AUUGAACGCUGGCGGCAUGCCUUACACAUGCAAGUCGAACGGCAGCACGGGUGCUUGCACCUGGUGGCGAGUGGCGAACGGGUGAGUAAUACAUCGGAACAUGUCCUGUAGUGGGGGAUAGCCCGGCGAAAGCCGGAUUAAUACCGCAUACGAUCCACGGAUGAAAGCGGGGGACCUUCGGGCCUCGCGCUAUAGGGUUGGCCGAUGGCUGAUUAGCUGGUUGGUGGGGUAAAGGCCUACCAAGGCGACGAUCAGUAGCUGGUCUGAGAGGACGACCAGCCACACUGGGACUGAGACACGGCCCAGACUCCUACGGGAGGCAGCAGUGGGGAAUUUUGGACAAUGGGCGAAAGCCUGAUCCAGCAAUGCCGCGUGUGUGAAGAAGGCCUUCGGGUUGUAAAGCACUUUUGUCCGGAAAGAAAUCCUUGACUCUAAUACAGUCGGGGGAUGACGGUACCGGAAGAAUAAGCACCGGCUAACUACGUG
rnacentral:rRNA from 1 species